rnacentral:lncRNA from 1 species
AACACAGAGGAACUAGAGAAGCAGGCGGCCCAUAGCAGCACGGUAAGCGCAGAGACCCAGCGCAGGCGCGCUGUGUUCUCACCGUUUAUCGUUAGCCCCCUGCCUCCGGGUGGUUAACCCCCACUCUCCAGUCCUUUAUUCCUUACACCUGAGGUAUUAGUGGCCGACUCACAAAGGCGAUGUUGUAAACACGAAGUGAGGUAGCCCAGGGAACGAAUCGCAAACCUGGUGUACUGAGCGCUUUCACUUCUGGGAUGGUCUUUCAGAGGAAGCACGUCACUGUGGCUCGAGGGAGGGUGGUUAAGGAAUGGAGCUAUGGGUGUGGUUGGUAGCCUGGAAAGUCCCGGAGGAUGGACACGGGGAUGCACAGCUGUGACCCAAACCCUUGGGAGACUGAAGAAGCCAGUCUGUCCCACACCGGGAGACUCUGUCCAAAACAAAACAGAAACAACAGUAACAAAACUGGAGAAUGCCAGCCGGGAAGACUGUUGAUUAGCGGUGUUUCUUGUGUGAGUGAGCUUUGUCACAUAUAAAAUAGGGUGAUAGCCAGGGCUAUACAGAAAAACC